UCUGUCGCUUCUACAGCGGCUACGCACGGCCCCGCGCCAGAGGCUACAGGGGCCGAUCCCGAGCCACCUCCUGGUACUCCCCAUAUUAACAAAAAAAACCCAAAAACCCCCAAAAUCUCCCCAAAAAAAA